UUGGUGUAGUAUAAAAAAUACAUAAUAUUUCUAUUAUUAAGAUAUAUUGUUAAUCAUAUAACCUUUC
rnacentral:tRNA from 1 species